CAGCCUGGCAGUUUCCCCUCCCCCGCCCCCCGGGGGCCAUUCUCCAAAGCGAGGGCAAUGCGGUGGGCGCUGGUCCUCUGGCAGGUGAGCUUGCUGGAGGCCGUCCAGCUCCGCUCACACUCUCUUCUGUAUUUCUACUUCGCUUCAUCGGAGCCAGCUCCAGGAGUCCCUGUCUUUUCUGCCUCUGGCUUUGUGGACGCCAGCGCUUCAUCCUCUACGACAGCAAGACGAGGAAGGUCAAAGCUUCUGUGCAGUGGCUGAGGGAGGCACCCAGUUACUUUGAGGAUGAAAGCAAGAUCUUCACCAACUGGAUGAAGAUUUUCCAGCUGAGCCUGCACAAUGUGCAGCAGUACUACAACCAAACCCUGAGUCAAGGCCCACAUCCAGAGCAGCCGCACGUGCCAGCAGGGCCUCACAUCUUACAGUUCACCUAGGGCUGUGAACAGCGAGAUGACGGCAGCAUCACCGGGCACUGGCAAUAUGGCUAUGACGGUGGCGACUACCUGAGCCCGGAUUUCGACUCACUGCAGUACACAGCGACCUCGCCUCUGGCCCACUUCAACAAGCAAAGGUGGGAGGCCAGUAGGGACUUCAAAAACAAACUCAAGACAUACCUGAAGAAGGAAUGCAUCGUGUGGUUGCACAAAUACCUGAAGUCCCGAGGGGAAAACUCUAACCACACAGACGCGCCCACAGCACAUGUAAUCCAUCACCUUGUCUCUGACCAGAAGGCCACCCUGAGGUGCUGGGCCCUGGGCUUCUACCCCAAGGACAUCACACUCACCUGGCAUCGAGAUGGGGAGGAUCUGACCCAGGACAUGGAGCUUGUGGAGACCAGGCCUGCAGGGGAUGGAACCUUCCA